rnacentral:rRNA from 1 species
GAUGAACGCUGGCGGCGUGCCUAAUACAUGCAAGUCGAGCGAACGGACGAGAAGCUUGCUUCUCUGAUGUUAGCGGCGGACGGGUGAGUAACACGUGGAUAACCUACCUAUAAGACUGGGAUAACUUCGGGAAACCGGAGCUAAUACCGGAUGAUAUUUUGAACCGCAUGGUUCAAAAGUGAAAGACGGUCUUGCUGUCACUUAUAGAUGGAUCCGCGCUGCAUUAGCUAGUUGGUAAGGUAACGGCUUACCAAGGCAACGAUGCAUAGCCGACCUGAGAGGGGGAAUCGGCACACUUGAACCGAGACAAGGUUCCAGACUCCUAGGGAAGGAAGCAGUAGGAAAUCUUCGGCAAGGGCGGAAGGCCUGACGAGGCAACGCGGGGGAAGUGAUGAAGGCCUUCGGAUGGUAAAACUUUGUUAUUGGGGAAAAAAAUAUGUGUAAGUACCUGUGACCACUUUAAGGGAACCAAAUAAGAAGGCAACGGCUACCUACGU